rnacentral:rRNA from 1 species
UACGAAGGGGGCUAGCGUUGUUCGGAAUUACUGGGCGUAAAGCGCGCGUAGGCGGCGCGUUAAGUCAGGUGUGAAAGCCCUGGGCUCAACCCAGGAAUUGCAUUUGAUACUGACGAGCUUGAAUCCGGAAGAGGAUAACGGAAUUCCCAGUGUAGAGGUGAAAUUCAUAGAUAUUGGGAAGAACACCAGUGGCGAAGGCGGCCAACUGGUCCGGUAUUGACGCUGAGGUGCGAAAGCGUGGGGAGCAAACAGG